UGCUCAAUGGUGUAAUGGUAGCACUACGGUUUUUGGUGCCGUCUGUGUAGGUUCGAAUCCUGCUUGAGCAA
rnacentral:tRNA from 1 species